rnacentral:rRNA from 1 species
CCUACGGGAGGCAGCAGUGGGGAAUAUUGGACAAUGGGCGCAAGCCUGAUCCAGCCAUGCCGCGUGAGUGACGAAGGUCUUCGGAUUGUAAAGCUCUUUUGGCGGGGAAGCGGUACCCGCAGAAUAAGCCCCGGCUAACUUCGUGCCAGCAGCCGCGGUAAUACGAAGGGGGCUAGCGUUGUUCGGAAUCACUGGGCGUAAAGCGCACGUAGGCGGAUGUGCCAGUCAGGGGUGAAAUCCCGGAGCUCAACUUCGGAACUGCCUCUGAUACAGCACGUCUCGAGUCCGGAAGAGGUGGGUGGAAUUCCUAGUGUAGAGGUGAAAUUCGUAGAUAUUAGGAAGAACACCGGUGGCGAAGGCGGCCCACUGGUCCGGACUGACGCUGAGGUGCGAAGCGUGGGGAGCAACAGGAUUAGAUACCCUUGUAGUC